UAUGUUUUGGUGUAUGAUGCACACGGAAUUUUGAAUUCCUUGGAUUUAGUUUGAAUCUAAAAAAUGUAA
rnacentral:tRNA from 1 species